CUUGAGUGUUCAUUUUGUAGUGACAGAAGAAAAAUGAGUAAAGUGGAAGUAACUCGAACGGAACCCCGGAAAAAUGUCGGCUGCCAUCAGCGUCCUGUCCAAAGGGGAAAUACGAAAAUACAAAACAGAUCCGGAAUAUCCCCUUCAGUUUACCACAGCAGUAAGGCGGAGGAAGCGUGCCAUCUGUGUCAUUCAGUCAUUUUACCGGAAGAAACCCGAACCCGCCUUUACGUGAGGAAUUGUGUACAACGGAACAGUCAAUCGGCAAGGUGGAUAGAUUUUUUAAUAGGAGGCUUGAUAGGAGGACGGAAAUGAACCGGGGCAAGGACAGCCAGUGGAAAAAGUGGACGUUAAGUCGUCCUCGCUGACCUCGUAACAUCCUCAUUGAUAUGAUCACUAGACCAACAUUUGAAAAGGGCGUUAGAUCGUAAAUUACGAGACAAUUAAUUUUCUAUAGCAACCUCAAACAGGACGAUUCAGUUGAUGAAGAAUCUACCGCAAGCCUUUCAUUAGUUAUUGCCUAAUUGAAGAAAAUGAACUUUGACAGAUAGGAGAGGAGAUGUUGUUUGCUCAGGUUUUCGGUAUUGAUUACUGUUAGAAAACGUGUUUGCUUUAAUUUUUCUUACCAAUUUUGUAUGUAAUUUUAAAAACCAUUGAAAAUGUAUUCAUUAGAGAAAAGUGAAGUGAGAAAAAACGUGUAGGUACAUUUAAAGUUUGCCUGGUUCAUUAGUAUGAUAAAAAUGUUUUAUGUAGUAGUUUUAUAAGUUACAUUUUAUAUUUUGGAAAGCCUUAUUUUAUACUCUGAGUUGCUCCUAGUAGUUGUAUUAGAUAAAGUUUUAAAUUAUACUAGAGGCAGACAGGUUAUCAGUAACACGAUAUCAAUCUACCUGUCUUCUUCUUCUUUGUUGGCAUUACAUCCCCCUACUGGGACAUUGCCGCCUCGCAGCUUUUAGUUAACUGUGAGGUUUCUAAACUAAUUACCGUUUUUGCAUUCGUAUAUCAUGAGCAGGGAUUGAACUUAUCAUUUCAU